rnacentral:rRNA from 1 species
AAUAGAUACCCUGGUAGUCCACGCCGUAAACGAUGAGUGCUAAGUGUUAGAGGGUUUCCGCCCUUUAGUGCUGCAGCUAACGCAUUAAGCACUCCGCCUGGGGAGUACGGCCGCAAGGCUGAAACUCAAAGGAAUUGACGGGGGCCCGCACAAGCGGUGGAGCAUGUGGUUUAAUUCGAAGCAACGCGAAGAACCUUACCAGGUCUUGACAUCCUCUGCCAACCCUAGAGAUAGGGCGUUCCCCUUCGGGGGACAGAGUGACAGGUGGUGCAUGGUUGUCGUCAGCUCGUGUCGUGAGAUGUUGGGUCAAGUCCCGCAACGAGCGCAACCCUUGAUCUUAGUUGCCAGCAUUUAGUUGGGCACUCUAAGGUGACUGCCGGUGACAAACCGGAGGAAGGUGGGGAUGACGUCAAAUCAUCAUGCCCCUUAUGACCUGGGCUACACACGUGCUACAAUGGAUGGUACAAAGAGCUGCGAACCCGCGAGGGUAAGCGAAUCUCAUAAAGCCAUUCUCAGUUCGGAUUGUAGG